rnacentral:rRNA from 1 species
AUUGAACGCUGGCUGCAUGCUUAACACAUGCAAGUCGAACGGCAGCGCGGGGAGCUUGCUCCCUGGCGGCGAGUGGCGGACGGGUGAGUACAACUUAGGAAUCUGCCCAGUAGUGGGGGACAACACGGGGAAACUCGUGCUAAUACCGCAUACGCCCUUCGGGGGAAAGCGGGGGAUCUUCGGACCUCGCGCUAUUGGAUGAGCCUAAGCCGGAUUAGCUUGUUGGUGGGGUAAAGGCCUACCAAGGCGACGAUCCGUAGCUGGUCUGAGAGGACGAUCAGCCACACUGGGACUGAGACACGGCCCAG